rnacentral:rRNA from 1 species
UACGUAGGGGGCAAGCGUUGUCCGGAUUUAUUGGGCGUAAAGAGCGUGUAGGCGGCCAUACAGGUCAGCUGUGAAAACUCGAGGCUCAACCUCGAGAUGUCGGCGGAAACCGUCUGGCUAGAGUCCGGAAGAGGAGAGUGGAAUUCCUGGUGUAGCGGUGAAAUGCGCAGAUAUCAGGAAGAACACCUAUGGCGAAGGCAGCUCUCUGGGACGGUACUGACGCUGAGACGCGAAAGCGUGGGGAGCGAACAGG